rnacentral:lncRNA from 1 species
UCUGGGCUUGGUUGGCUGGACAGUGGCACUGCUCUUCUUAGAGAUGGAGGUGCAUGUAUCCUUUGCAGGUUCAGAGCCAAAGCUGAUGGAUCUGUAAUUGCAUCUCUUCCUUGCACAGUUGAAUUUACCACUUGGCAAAAUGGCCUGAGAUGAUGUAAGCUGCUUUAUUAAUAAGACAUAACCCUCCCUUUUCUCUCAUACCCUCUUGAAUUCUGCUCCAGGGAUGACUGAGUUCAUCCUAGAUAAUCUCAGCAAUGAGAUCUGGUUGCUUAACUCUUCUUGGAAAGACAGCAUGGAGGCCUGAGAGUGGUAACAAAUCCAGAUGUGACACUUCUCUGUGUAUUUUACUGAAUUAUGUGGAACAAGCUGAGGACAAACACAGGAGACUGUACUCAGUGAAAGUGUAUGCCGUGGUAUCCCGGUGAGUUACUAGGGAAAACAAAUAUUGUACUCCUUGUCACUUGGAUCUGCCUGGAAGUGAAACCAGAAGCUUGGCAUUUAGAUGUGAAUAACUGCCUGUAUGAUUUCCAUUAUCUUUCGUUGACCUAAGAUUGUUUUACUUUAGAAAGUAAUUGCUCUGUGUAUUGAUUAAAGCCUCAAGACUAUAGUGUUUCAGCAGAAGAGAAAAUUCAAGCACAGAGAAGAACAGGAUUGAUUGCUGCUACAGAAAACUAACAGCAGGUUGUUGUCUUUUUAUCUCUGAUGACUUUAAUCUUGAAACUGAUUUUCUAAUUGUGAAUCGCUUUACAGUGUGUACUUCUGAACUGUGAAGCUGGGCUUGCUGCUGGAAUUGAUACAGUUAUUGAUAAGAGGGUUUUUUAUUUUUUUGCAAAUCAGUAUGUUAUAGAGAUAUACCCUCUUGGAAGAGCAACUGCAUUUUCUAGAGAGUAAUUCACCUGGCAAACAAAAGUUCCAGUACUUUGUGACUAAAGGGAUUACUGAGAAAAAAAGCACAAGGCCCUGCCAUAAUAUAUCUGACUUUCUGGUCUGUGCUGUUUAGCAUGAUAAUGACCCAAGAUUCAAUACUGGAGACAUGUAGAAAAUAUAAAAGGUAUUUUCUGUAUUUAAUGAGGUUAGAAAUGAAGCCAAUAUUCACAUUAUGAGUACACUGUAUUCCUAAUGUAGCUAAAAUCAUACUGAUUUCAGUGUGAGAUUUUGCAGUAUUACAGCGAAUUAUCC